CGGGAGGGGAGACGGCGGAGCGUCCAGGCUGCCGGCUGGCAAUUUCAGCUUCAGGUGGCUGGAUCUGCAGCCCUGGGAGAACCGCAGAGCCGUCUCCGAGCCUCCUGGGGGAGAAGAACGGAUCUGCGUGACCUCUGGGGCUGCACAUCCCGUUGUGGAACCCACUAUGCCUAGAUGAGCGAAGCAGUGAACGGGCACAUGCUCGUGAAUCACAGCUUUCAAGAGCAGAUGCUCUGCAACCAGAUCAUUCGGUUGCCUUCUUCACUUAUUAGCUGUGUGUCCUCGGGCAAGUUGCUUAACCUCUCUGAGCCAUAUUUUUCUCAUCUGUAAAGAGGAGAUGGAAGCAGUCUUGACUUGAAAGGGUGGUGGUGAGGAGUCAAUGAGAUCACCCAUGUAAAGUGCUGAAAGCAGGGCCUGGUACCUUGUCAGCUAUGACUAGUGGGAAAAUAUUUCUUCCUGGAAAUAAGGCUGAAACAGUGGCCAGAGUCAGAAAGUCAGACUGAGGACUCAGGAGAGAAAGUUUGUCAUCGACUCUCCUCUGCUGCAGGGCAGUGCUGGUGCAGGCUGGGGCUGAACCCCUCUUUGCAGCCAGCAGGCGAUGAGAGUCGGUGGGGACUGGGCAGUCUGAGCCCUGCCUCCAGCUUGUGUAUGACCAGAGGGGUUCCCCGUGCACACUGUGGGAGACCAGCAUACCAUGGGCUGGUUGGAGGCUUGGGUGGCUCAAUGGGGCGGACGUGCUUUGCGAGCAGGAGGACGAACAGGGCUCCCGAGCCGGAGCUGCAAACCCGGGCAGCUGCUGGCCAGGGACGUUGCCUGUCAGGAUCUCAACUCACUCACCCUCUGCCCAAUUGGCAGCUCCAGUUCCUCGCUUAUGAGAAUAAUCUUUCCCCAACUAAUCUAUGGACGGACCACCUCACAUUACCUAGCAGGCUCUAUUUAUACAUGAAUACUACCAGCACCCCUGGCCAGCCCCAGCCUGGUCCCAUUGGAAUCCCGGAGCUGGGACUCAGAAUCCUGUCUUCAUAACAAGUUUCCCCAGGACUCAACAGUACUGCCCAUUUGGAAAUGGUUGUGUACGGACCCAC
rnacentral:lncRNA from 1 species